rnacentral:rRNA from 1 species
CACGUAGGGGCCAAGCGUUGUCCGGAUUUAUUGGGCGUAAAGAGCUCGUAGGCGGUUCGACAAGUCGGGUGUGAAAACUCCGGGCUCAACCCGGAGACGCCACCCGAUACUGUCGUGACUGGAGUCCGGUAGGGGAGUGGGGAAUUCCUGGUGUAGCGGUGAAAUGCGCAGAUAUCUACAGGAACUCCGGUGGCGAAAGCGGCGCGCUGGACCUCUUCUGACGCUGAGGCGCGAAAGCUAGGGGAGCAAACGGG